GGCCCAGUGGUGUGGCAUCAUGACCAGUGCCAGGGUGGUUCCCUGGGGGUCCUUUCCCCCCGGCCCUGGCCCGGGGUCCGACACGAGACUGAAGCCGAGAUGGGCCCCUGGCCAAAAACAUGCAGCAGCCAGAGAGCAAGAGAGACACUCCCCAGGAGUUCUUCAACCAUGCCGCCUCCUCCCACCACAGAGGAGGGGUAGUGGAGCUGGCUGGACCCUGGGCAGCCCUGGCCCAGGAGGACACUGGGCUGGUAGCCAUGACUCUGAGCCGGCAGUAGGUCGGAGCAGAGAAGCAUCUGUGAAGAAGCAGCAGCAGCAUGCAGCAUGAAGCGAAGCAGAGAGAAAAGCCAAGCUGGAACGUUUUGAAGAUUGAGUUUCCCACAAGUCCUCCAGCUGACAGGUCGAGCAGACUGCAUCUGUGUUACCUAUGGAGAAAAUAAGUUCUUCUGGGUCAGAGCUGUCUCAAAUAGAAAAAAAAAUUUACUUGUUUUUUCUAAGACUUCUUGUAAUAUCAUCUAAAAAAUUAACACCUUCUUUAUUUGAACACAUAGAGGGAAAAAACCACUUUUUUUAAUUACUUUUGUGUAACACAAAUAAAGGAAGUUUUUUAUUGUUCAUGAUAA